rnacentral:misc_RNA from 1 species
GGGACAGCUAGUGCAACUUAAACCUGACGUGAGAGAGCCAAGAUUUAAGUUGCUUGGACAAGCACGUGACAGCAUUGGAACUGUAUUGUGUAUUGAUGAUGAAGAAGGAAUUAUACGAAUUGGAUUUACUGGUGCAUCUAGAGGAUGGCAAGCUGACCCUGCAGACUUUCAAAGACUUCAAGAAUUCAAAGUUGGUGAUUGGAUCCGUGUACGUUAUACUGUUCCUGCUGCAAAACAUGGCUUUGGAGCUGUAACUCCAGGGAGUAUUGGUGUUGU